ACACCGAUGGCGAAGGCAGGUCUCUGGGCAUUAACUGACGCUGAGGAGCGAAAGCAUGGGGAGCGAACAGGAUUAGAUACCCUGGUAGUCCAUGCCGUAAACGUUGGGCACUAGGUGUGGGGGACAUUCCACGUUUUCCGCGCCGUAGCUAACGCAUUAAGUGCCCCGCCUGGGGAGUACGGCCGCAAGGCUAAAACUCAAAGGAAUUGACGGGGGCCCGCACAAGCGGCGGAGCAUGCGGAUUAAUUCGAUGCAACGCGAAGAACCUUACCAAGGCUUGACAUGGGCCGGACCGGGCUGGAAACAGUCCUUCCCCUUUGGGGCCGGUUCACAGGUGGUGCAUGGUUGUCGUCAGCUCGUGUCGUGAGAUGUUGGGUUAAGUCCCGCAACGAGCGCAACCCUCGUUCCAUGUUGCCAGCGCGUAAUGGCGGGGACUCAUGGGAGACUGCCGGGGUCAACUCGGAGGAAGGUGGGGACGACGUCAAAUCAUCAUGCCCCUUAUGUCUUGGGCUUCACGCAUGCUACAAUGGCCGGUACAAAGGGUUGCGAUACUGUGAGGUGGAGCUAAUCCCAAAAAGCCGGUCUCAGUUCGGAUUGGGGUCUGCAACUCGACCCCAUGAAGUCGGAGUCGCUAGUAAUCGCAGAUCAGCAACGCUGCGGUGAAUACGUUCCCGGGCCUUGUACACACCGCCCGUCAAGUCACGAAAGUUGGUAACACCCGAAGCCGGUGGCCUAACCCCUUGUGGGAGGGAGCUGUCGAAGGUGGGACUGGCGAUUGGGACUAAGUCG
rnacentral:rRNA from 1 species